rnacentral:lncRNA from 10 species
CAGAUGUGAUCUGACAUCAUGCAUACAUGAAUCUGGGAUCUCAAAUAAUAUCUUCGGGGCUUUGCCUCUCUCUUAUCACUUCUCAUUUCUGCCUUCCUCUCCACGUUGGUCUCAAUUGCUUCUUCUAUAGAUGGCUGUUUCCAUGAGGCUGGGAAAGAUGACUACAAGUAGUUCCGGUUUGCCAGCAGUUACAGCCACUCAUUCCGGGAACAGUGCUUCUUCGUGUGUGGAAGGGGAGAAACCACAUCGCCGAUGGCAAUGCCACUUCCGGUGUUGGAGGUAUCACACAGCACACCUGCAUAUGGCUUCAUCUGUGGCUGUCACACUCACGGGUCUCACUCUGUCACCCAGGCUGGAGUGGAGAGGCACUAUCAUAACUCACAGAAGCCUCGAACUCCUGAGCUCAAGCAGUACUCUGGCCUCAGCUUCCCAAGUAGCUGGGACUACCGGCGCAUGCCACCAUACUCAG